rnacentral:rRNA from 1 species
GUGCCAGUAGCCGCGGUAAUACCGGCAGCCCAAGUGAUGGCCGAUCUUAUUGGGCCUACAGCGUCCGUAGCUGGCUGCGCAAGUCCGUCGGGUAAUCCCCUCGCCCAACGAGUGGGCGUCCAGCGGAAACUGCCUGGCUUGGGGCCGGAGGACUCGAGGGGUACGUCCGGGGUAGGAGUGAAAUCCCGUAAUCCUGGACGGACCACCGGUGGCGAAAGCGCCUCGAGAGGACGGACCCGACAGUGAGGGACGAAAGCCAGGGUCUCGAACCGGAUUAGAUACCCCAGUAGUCC